CCUACGGGGUGCAGCAGUGAGGAAUAUUGGUCAAUGGACGAGAGUCUGAACCAGCCAAGUAGCGUGAAGGAUGACUGCCCUAUGGGUUGUAAACUUCUUUUAUAUGGGAAUAAAACGUUCCACGUGUGGGAUUUUGUAUGUACCAUAUGAAUAAGGAUCGGCUAACUCCGUGCCAGCAGCCGCGGUAAUACGGAGGAUCCGAGCGUUAUCCGGAUUUAUUGGGUUUAAAGGGAGCGUAGGUGGAUUGUUAAGUCAGUUGUGAAAGUUUGCGGCUCAACCGUAAAAUUGCAGUUGAAACUGGCAGUCUUGAGUACAGUAGAGGUGGGCGGAAUUCGUGGUGUAGCGGUGAAAUGCUUAGAUAUCACGAAGAACUCCGAUUGCGAAGGCAGUUCACUGGACUGCAACUGACACUGAGGCUCGAAAGUGUGGGUAUCAAACAGGAUUAGAUACCCUGUAGUC
rnacentral:rRNA from 1 species